UCGGUGAAGGAUGGGCUCGCGGCCUAUCAGCUUGUUGGUGGGGUAAUGGCCUACCAAGGCGACGACGGGUAGCCGGCCUGAGAGGGCGACCGGCCACACUGGGACUGAGACACGGCCCAG
rnacentral:rRNA from 1 species